GACGAACGCUGGCGGCGUGCUUAACACAUGCAAGUCGAACGGAAAGGCCCUGCUUUUGUGGGGUGCUCGAGUGGCGAACGGGUGAGUGACACGUGAGUAACCUGCCCUUGACUUUGGGAUAACUUCAGGAAACUGGGGCUAAUACCGGAUAGGAGCUCCUGCUGCAUGGUGGGGGUUGGAAAGUUUCGGCGGUUGGGGAUGGACUCGCGGCUUAUCAGCUUGUUGGUGGGGUAGUGGCUUACCAAGGCUUUGACGGGUAGCCGGCCUGAGAGGGUGACCGGCCACAUUGGGACUGAGAUACGGCCCAGACUCCUACGGGAGGCAGCAGUGGGGAAUAUUGCACAAUGGGCGGAAGCCUGAUGCAGCAACGCCGCGUGCGGGAUGACGGCCUUCGGGUUGUAAACCGCUUUCGCCUGUGACGAAGCGUGAGUGACGGUAAUGGGUAAAGAAGCACCGGCUAACUACGUGCCAGCAGCCGCGGUGAUACGUAGGGUGCGAGCGUUGUCCGGAUUUAUUGGGCGUAAAGGGCUCGUAGGUGGUUGAUCGCGUCGGAAGUGUAAUCUUGGGGCUUAACCCUGAGCGUGCUUUCGAUACGGGUUGACUUGAGGAAGGUAGGGGAGAAUGGAAUUCCUGGUGGAGCGGUGGAAUGCGCAGAUAUCAGGAGGAACACCAGUGGCGAAGGCGGUUCUCUGGGCCUUUCCUGACGCUGAGGAGCGAAAGCGUGGGGAGCGAACAGGCUUAGAUACCCUGGUAGCCCACGCUGUAAACGGUGGGUACUAGGUGUGGGGUCCAUUCCACGGGUUCCGUGCCGUAGCUAACGCUUUAAGUACCCCGCCUGGGGAGUACGGCCGCAAGGCUAAAACUCAAAGGAAUUGACGAGGCCCCGCACAAGCGGCGGAGCAUGCGGAUUAAUUCGAUGCAACGCGUAGAACCUUACCUGGGUUUGACAUGGAUCGGGAGUGCUCAGAGAUGGGUGUGCCUCUUUUGGGGUCGGUUCACAGGUGGUGCAUGGCUGUCGUCAGCUCGUGUCGUGAGAUGUUGGGUUAAGUCCCGCAACGAGCGCAACCCUUGUUCACUGUUGCCAGCACGUUAUGGUGGGGACUCAGUGGAGACCGCCGGGGUCAACUCGGAGGAAGGUGGGGAUGACGUCAAGUCAUCAUGCCCCUUAUGUCCAGGGCUUCACGCAUGCUACAAUGGCUGGUACAGAGAGUGGCGAGCCUGUGAGGGUGAGCGAAUCUCGGAAAGCCGGUCUCAGUUCGGACUGGGGUCUGCAACUCGACCUCAUGAAGUCGGAGUCGCUAGUAAUCGCAGAUCAGCAACGCUGCGGUGAAUACGUUCCCGGGGCU
rnacentral:rRNA from 1 species